rnacentral:misc_RNA from 1 species
UCUCCGUUGGUGAACCAGCGGAGGGAUCAUUACAGAAAUGAGUAGAAACUCAGACCCGACGCGAACCCGAAACUGUUGCUUCGGCGGGCUGCCGGCUCUCGCCGCGCCCGCCAAAGGUCUACGUUAGGCUCUUUAGCUGGGGUGUAUUCCCCAUACUGUCCUCUGAAUCGCUUCCGAACUGGUCAAAACUUUCAACAACGGAUCUCUUGGUUCUG